rnacentral:rRNA from 1 species
CCUACGGGUGGCAGCAGUGAGGAAUAUUGGUCAAUGGGCGCGAGCCUGAACCAGCCAAGCAGCGUGAAGGACGACUGCCCUAAGGAUUGUAAACUUCUUUUAUCAAGGAAUAAAGUCAGGCUCGAGAGCCUUAUUGUAUGUACUUUAAGAAAAAGCAUCGGCUAACUCCGUGCCAGCAGCCGCGGUAAUACGGAGGAUUCGAGCGUUAUCCGGAUUUAUUGGGUUUAAAGGGAGCGUUGGUGGGAUGUUAAGUCAGUUGUGAAAGGUUGCGGCUCAACCCUAAGAGAGCCGUUGAUACUGGCUGCCUUGAGAUGUCGUGAGGUAUGCGGAAUGCGUAGUGUAGCGGUGAAAUGCUUAGAUAUCGCGCAGAACUCCGAUUGCGAAGGCAGCAUAC